GAACGCUAGCGGCAUGCUUAACACAUGCAAGUCGAACGGAGUUAUAUUGUAGCUUGCUAUGAUGUGACUUAGUGGCAGACGGGUGAGUAAUGUAUAGGAAUCUACCUAGUAGUACGGAAUAAUUGUUGGAAACGACAACUAAUACCGUAUACGCCCUACGGGGGAAAAAUUUAUUGCUAUUAGAUGAGCCUAUAUUAGAUUAGCUUGUUGGUGGGGUAAUAGCCUACCAAGGCAAUGAUCUAUAGCUGAUCUGAGAGGAUGAUCAGCCACACUGGAACUGAGAUACGGUC
rnacentral:rRNA from 1 species